AUCCUGGCUCAGGAUGAACGCUAGCUACAGGCUUAACACAUGCAAGUCGAGGGGCAGCAUUGGGAUAGCUUGCUAUUCAGAUGGCGACCGGCGCACGGGUGAGUAACGCGUAUCCAACCUUCCUGCCAGUAGGGAACAGCCCGGCGAAAGUCGGAUUAAUGCCCUAUGUUCUUCAAUGCGGACAUCUAAGUUGAAGGAAAGAUUCAUCGCUGGCAGAUGGGGAUGCGUCCGAUUAGCUUGCCGGCGGGGUAACGGCCCACCGGGGCGACGAUCGGUAGGGGUUCUGAGAGGAAGGUCCCCCACACUGGUACUGAGACACGGACCAGACUCCUACGGGAGGCAGCAGUGAGGAAUAUUGGUCAAUGGGCGUAAGCCUGAACCAGCCAAGUAGCGUGCAGGAAUGACGGCCCUACGGGUUGUAAACUGCUUUUAUGCGGGGAUAAAGUGCGGCACGUGUGCCGCUUUGCAGGUACCGCAUGAAUAAGGACCGGCUAAUUCCGUGCCAGCAGCGGC
rnacentral:rRNA from 1 species